UCGGACCACCGUCGGGGCACCUUCGGCAAACCGACCAACGUAAAAAAGCUGUCGGUCUGCCGGCGUUUCUUGGGUGGCAAGCCACCAGCGGCUUGCCCCUGCUGGACCACCGAUGGUACACCAGUGGCAAACCGCCCCAGCAAACAAUGACCUGGCGGUCUGCCGGCGGUUUUUGGGUGGCACAAAGUCAGCGGCUUGACGCGGUCGGACCACCGUCGGGGCACCUUCGGCAAACCGACCAACGUAAAAAAGCUGUCUGUCUCCCGGCGUUUCUUGGGUGGCAAGCAACCAGCGGCUUGCCCCUGCCCACCGUUGGUACACCAGUGGCAAACUGCUAGGUUACUGAAACUAAGAAUUUUAAAAAUCUUAAGAAAAUACAUGAAAAACAAUAUGAGACUGCAUAUAGGGCUUAUUUAACGAAAUGCAUACAUAUUUUUUUAAUAUUUCAGUUUAAAAGAAUUUUAAGGAUAGAAUAAAAAAUGAGAGAUAGUGUUUGAUACAAUGUAGUCCACGUGCAGGCGUGGUAAUUUGGACAUUUAUAGACAACAAAACGAGUUUGUGAUUUCAUAAUCAUUUGAGGAGAUUUUAAAUUGUUGUAGUGAUUAUGUCAAUGUGUGAAUUUGCCAUGACGCGUGUGCUGUGCGUGCCGAACACGUGCCCUUUUUGGCUUGUUCGACUUCAUGCGGCGCUGCAAGAACCGACAGCUGUAUGACGUCAAAGUACCGCGAGAACGAUUCGAGAACUCAUACGAAGUGUAAUUUCGUCUCGCUCUCGCGGCACUUUAACGUCAUGCGUCUGUCAGUUCUAGCGGGGCCGCAGGCAGGAAGUCGAACAGCCGUCUUUCCCUCAAUACGGAUUACCAUGAGGUGGGACUGACGAAGCUCCUCUUUCACGGGUUUCUUUACUGUUUUCAGGAGUGACCAAUAUAACCUCUAUAAUAGAAGAAAAGCUGAAGAUUUCAAAAUUUUCUGAAGGGAGCCACAGACAGAGAUGUAAACUCAGAUUUUCCUUGCUGAUAUCCGUGCAGCAGAGUCAAAGCAGACCUGUCAGAAAACAUCUCUAAGUUGCUAUGAAUCUCAUAACUAGAUACACAUCAUGAGAUAACUAGAGCUUAUGGCUCUGUUUGGAUCCAGCCUCACUUGUGAAGAAUUCAGAUGACGUAAACACUCACAAAGACAUUAUAUGAUGGCAUCUAUAGAUGGACAUACACAACUGCCAAAUGUAACAUAUUGUAAUUACUGCACCAAAGCGCAACCCUACAGAUUUUCAACCCACUUAAUAUUUUUACAAAUACAAUAUAUGUUUAUAUUUGAAAAAAAUAUUCUUUAGCUAAUUUUACUGAUUUAUUUCCAUUUAUUUGUCCACAAUACUCUGCCAAAAUGAUGUUUUGCAUCAUCCAAAUAUUGUUAAUGUACAUAUUACAGACAUUGUAACAACACAAAGUGGGUUGAAAAAGUUUCUUCUUCUAAGUGCAGUAACUACGCAAACACUAAAACCGAGAAAAAAGUUCUUAAAGUGUUUUACACCAGCGGGUCAAACUUGUUACUGCAAUUUUGGCAAACACAUUUCUCUGAUGGGACAAAAUUAAACCAGGAGACUUUGUCACAAGACAACAGAUCUCACAAAGCCCAUUUCAACCUUCACCUCAAUUUUGACCAAAUGCAUAGUUACUGCGCUUUGGCUUUGUUGGGCAGUAUAGUAGUAUUAUAGUAAUGCUGCAGUGAAACCAUGGUAACCAUAUAUUUUUAAAUCAUGGUAAAGUUUGUGGUUACUAAAAUGUAGUACUAUAAGCCUAUGCUGUUGUAAGAGAAUGUUUAUUCUUUAUUAUUGUUGUAAAAUCAUGGUUGAUUUUAUAUUUACCAUGUGUUACUGCAAAUGAUGGUAAAAUCAUGGAUAACUUUGCAUGGGUACAGAAAGGUGUAAACUGGUUGUUUUUAUUUGUAAGUCAUGUUGGUUUUAAUGCAUGUGAUAAAUGUAUAUGCAUUUGAAUAUUUAUUCUGUUUACUGACAAUAAUAAAUUUGCAGUUGCUGAUGUAAA